CGACUUUCGAACGCAUAUUGCAGCCAUUGGAUAGCCGAUGGCUUCGUUUGUCUGAGCGUCGUUUUCAAUUAUGACCAAACAAAAUGGGAUAGAUCUGUAUCGUCGUGAAUACGUCGUCAGGUCAUUUCCAAACAUUUGAUAUGCUGGCUUUUGUGGUGAAGAAGGCUUUGUAGCACAUUCACUCACAAGAGGUAUUUAGCGUUUCCAGCUAAACACCUUGAAUGUGUGCCUUGUAUAACCAAUCAAAAUGGUUGACAAAUCAUUGUCCAAUAAAAGUCUAAUUUCGACCUCAGAUCAAGCGAGAUUACCCCCUGAAUUUAAGC
rnacentral:rRNA from 1 species